UAAGAUAUUUGCAGCGCGGUUUUCACGAAAUCGGCAAAACAACACCGCAAAAUUUCCGAUAGACUUUAAUGGGAAAUCUUCGGAAAUUUUGUUUAACAU